GUGGACCCGGAGAGAUAGCUAAGUGGUAAUCUUCCAGAGGGCAGGCAUUUGAUUCCCACAGCCACACUGGGUGACUCACAGAAUUCCAACUGUAAUUUCAGCUCCAUGAAAUCCUCUUCUGGCCUCUAUGGCCAUCCAUACUCAUAUGUGCAUUCAUACAUAUACAUAGACAAAAACAAAUUCAAUCAUUAAAAGUAAAAAAAAAAAAAAGGGCUUUAGAGGGCUAUGGAAACGGCUCAGUGGAUGGAUAUGGGCUUGCUGGGGAUGAGCUUGGAGGGCUAUGGAAACGGCUCAGUGGAUGGAUAUGGGCUUGCUGGGGAAGGAUAAGGAUGUAUCUCUACACCCACAUUAAAAAGAGCCAGGCAUGGUCCACACGGAUGCUGGAGAGGCAGAGACAGAGACAGGAAGAUACUUGGAGCUUGCUAAUCACUAGCCUAGUACAAAAGUGAGGUCCAGGUUCAGUGAGAGACCAUGUCAUAUAAGUAGCACAAGAUUGUCGAUCACAUUAUCAGAGCUCUAAAAGAGACCAUGCCUCAAAAAACUUAAGGAUUAUGAUAAAAGAGACAGCUAAGGUGUGCUCACAUGCACAAAUGUGCAUGAGUGCACACACACAUACUUCACAGCUGGGUAUAUAACUCAGUAGAUUGCUUGCCUAGCACACACAUGGUACUAUGUUGAUUCCCAACCACACAUAAACAGAGUAUGGCAGUACAUACCUGUAAUCCCAGCACUAAGGAAGACAGAGGUGGGGGGAAUCAGAAGUUUAGGGCCAUGCUCUGCUAUACAGACAUCUUGAGGUCUGGGUACAUGACAUCUUGUCUCUGCAAACAAAGCAAACACACAAACAGAAGAUUAUUAAAGUAUCAUUAGUAAGCCGUAACUUGUUGACACACAGAUUGCCUAUAGCAGAAAAUUUGCCAUUUUUUGAAGCAUACAAAGGCCCCUGAGACCAUCAGCACAAUCCCCCAGAAUGGCCCUCUGUCUCUCCAGUGUAGUCCAUUCCAGUGUCCACCAAGCAGACAUUGGUGUUUCCAUCAUUUUCUAGAGCAGAAAUGGAAUCCUACAACAAUAUGUAGUCCUUUGUCAGAAUCCUCCCACUCAGCAUAGUUAUAUAUUGUUGCAUGGGGCCCGCUAGCUCAUUCGUCUGUGUUACUAAGUAAUUUUCCACUGUGGGGAUGUUCCAGGGUUGAUCCCUCUCCCUGUCUUUGGAUUAGUACUGUCUUUUCUUUGGAACAACUACCUGGCAUUGGGUAGAUUGAGCAUAUGGUGGCCAUGCUUAAGACUCUGCUAAACAAUUAGACCUUUUAAAAAAUGUUUGCAUGAUUCUUUCAUUCCCAAGGAACAGAGUUCUUCCAUAUCUUCUUUGUUAGUAUGUUUUAAUUUAUCUUAAUGAGGGUGAGUGGUAUCUCAUUGGUUUUAGUCGGUAUUUGAAUUAAUUACAUCUAAUCUUGGAUAUUCUACUUUGUCUUAUUUGUAGUCUAUAUAUCUUUUGGGGACAGUAAUUUGGGGUGGGUUUUUUUUUUUGGUUUGUUUGGGUUGGGUUUUUUUUGUUUGUUUGUUUUUUGUUUUUUUCAAGACAGGGUUUCUCUGUGUAGCCUUGGCUGUCUUGGAACUCACUUUGUAGACCAGGCUGGCUCGAACUCAGAAAUCCGCCUGCCUCUGCCUCCCGAGUGCUGGGAUUAAAGCUGUGCGCCACCACGCCCAGCCAAUUUAUGCUAAUCUUCCUCCCUCAGCUUCUCAAGUGCUAGGGUAACAGGCAUAGACUACCAUGCCUAGCUAUCUGCCAUCUGUUUACUUCCUAUGCUAAAGUAUUUGCUCAAAUCUCUGCCCAUUAUAAAAUUGGAUAGAUUAAAAAAAAAAAAUAACGCUUAUCAGGGCUAGAGAAAAUGGUUCAGCAGUCAAGAGCAUUUGCUGAUCUUGCAGAGGAUCCAGGUUCAUAUGCAACUGGAAAUCAUUAGACAAAAUGUAAGGGAAGUGGGGUUUAUAGGGCCUCCUGAAUGAUCUUUGCAAUCUGCCAAUAAGCAUAAAACUAGUCUGAAAUGGGAAUCUCUCUUU
rnacentral:lncRNA from 1 species